rnacentral:rRNA from 1 species
UACGAAGGGUGCAAGCGUUACUCGGAAUUACUGGGCGUAAAGCGUGCGUAGGUGGUUUGUUAAGUCUGUUGUGAAAGCCCCGGGCUCAACCUGGGAAUGGCAAUGGAUACUGGCAGGCUAGAGUGCGGUAGAGGGUAGUGGAAUUCCCGGUGUAGCGGUGAAAUGCGUAGAUAUCGGAAGGAACAUCAGUGGCGAAAGCGGCUUCCUGGACCAGAAACUGACGAUCAGGCACGAAAGCGUGGGGAGCAAACAGG